CCUACGGGUGGCAGCAGUGGGGAAUAUUGGGCAAUGGGCGCAAGCCUGAUCCAGCAACGCCGCGUGAAGGAAGAAGGCUUUCGGGUUGUAAACUUCUUUUCUCAGGGACGAAGAAGGUGACGCUAGCUGAGGAAUCAGCGACGGCUAACUACGUGCCAGCAGCCGCGGUAAUACGUAGGGGGCAAGCGUUAUCCGGAUUUACUGGGUGUAAAGGGAGAGUAGGCGGGAAAGCAAGUCAGAUGUGAAAACCAUGGGCUCAACCUGUGGACUGCAUUUGAAACUGUUCUUCUGGAGUACUGGAGAGGCAGACGGAAUUCCUAGUGUAGCGGUGAAAUGCGUAGAUAUUAGGAGGAACACCAGUGGCGAAGGCGGUCUGCUGGACAGCAACUGACGCUGAGGCGCGAAAGCGUGGGGAGCAAACAGGAUUAGAUACCCGUGUAGUC
rnacentral:rRNA from 1 species